rnacentral:rRNA from 1 species
AACGAACGCUGGCGGCAUGCCUAACACAUGCAAGUCGAACGAGACCUUCGGGUCUAGUGGCGCACGGGUGCGUAACGCGUGGGAACCUGCCCUUAGGUUCGGAAUAACUCCCCGAAAGGGGUGCUAAUACCGGAUAAUGUCUUCGGACCAAAGAUUUAUCGCCUUUGGAUGGGCCGGCGUUGGUUUAGCCAGUUGGGAGGGUAAAAGCCUACCAAGGAGACGCUCCAUAGCUGGUCUGAGAGGAUGAUCAGCCACACUGGGUCUGAGACACGGCCCAGACUACUACGGGAGGCAGCAGUGGGGAAUAUUGGACAAUCGGCGAAAGCCUGAUCCAGCAAUGCCGCGUGAGUGAUGAAGGCCGUAGGGUUGUAAAGCUCUUUUACCCGGGAUGAUAAUGACAGUACCGGGAGAAUAAGCUCCGGCUAACUCCGUG